AUAGCUGGUUUCUCAAGAAAAGAAUUUAAGUCCAACCUAAAGUAAUCUCGAUUCACAUAAAUCCCCAUACCACUUUAGAGCAAUUCAAAUGAGGUACAGCCCAUUUGAUACAGGAUACAACCUUAACUAACGGGUAACAUUAAAUCUACACCUUCAAGUAGGCCUAAGAGCAGCCACCAUUAAAAGCGUCAAAGCUUAAUCAUGUUUUCAUCAAUUUAAAAUCCCCCAUUGACCCCUUUAACUUUACUGAGAAUUUCUAUAUCGUAUAGAACAUUUUAUGCUAAAACUAGUAACAAGAGAAAACCCUCUCCCAAUGCAAACAAAAGCCAGCAAGAACCCAUCACUGGCAACUAACAGACCUAAACAAAAGUAACAAAAUCACUAGAAAACCCUACUUCUCACAACUGUUAACCUAACACUAGAGCAUUUCAGGGAAGAUUAAAAGAAAAAGAAGGAACUCGGCAAACACUAAUCCCGCCUGUUUACCAAAAACAUCGCCUCUUGUCCCUAUAAGAGGUCAAGCCUGCCCAGUGACUUUGUUCAACGGCCGCGGUAUCCUAACCGUGCGAAGGUAGCGUAAUCACUUGUUUUCUAAAUAAAGACCAGUAUGAAAGGCAUCACGAGGAUUAAACUGUCUCCUUUUUCCAAUCAGUGAACCUAAUCUCCCCGUGAAGAAGCGGGGAUUAUUUUAUAAGACG
rnacentral:rRNA from 1 species